UUCCGGUUGAUCCUGCCGGACCUGACUGCUAUCGGAUUGAUACUAAGCCAUGCGAGUCUUUGUAGUAAUACAAGGCAUACGGCUCAGUAACGCGUAGUCAACCUACCCUAUGGACAAGAAUAAUCUCGGGAAACUGAGCAUAAUUCUUGAUAGAUCAUAAUGCCUGGAACGGUGAGUGGAUGAAAGCUCCGGCGGCAUAGGAUGGGCCUGCGGCGUAUCAGGUUGUAGGGGGUGUAACGUACCCUCUAGCCCUCUACGCGUACGGGUGUUGGGAGACAUAGCCCGGAGAUGGAUUCUGAGACACGAAUCCAGACCCUACGGGGUGCAGCAGGCGCGAAAACUUGACAAUGCGAGAAAUCGUGAUCAGGGAACUCCAAGUGGCUGGGGUAAGACCCAGUCUUUUCUUGACUCUUCAAAGGUCUUGGAAUAAGGGGUGGGUAAGGACGGUGCCAGCCGCCGCGGUAAUACCGGCGCCUCAAGUGGUAGUCGCUUUUAUUGGGCCUAAAACGUCCGUAGCCGGUCUGAUACAUUCGUGGGUAAAUCAACUAGCUCAACUAGUUGAAUUCUGCGAGGACGGUCAGACUUGGGACCGGGAGAGGUGUGGGGUACGCUCAGGGUAGGGGUAAAAUCCUGUCAUCCUAAGCGGACCACCUGUUGCGAAGGCGCCACACUAGAACGGAUCCGACGGUCAGGGACGAAGCCUAGGGGCACGAACCGGAUUAGAUACCCGGGUAGUCCUAGGUGUAAACGCUGUGGACUUGAUGUUGGGGGCGCUCCGAGCGCUUCCAGUGUCGAAGCGAAGGUGAUAAGUCCACUGCCUGGGAAGUACGGUCGCAAGGCUGAAACUUAAAGGAAUUGGCGGGGGAGCACCGCAACCUGAGGAUUGUGCGGUUUAAUUGGAUUCAACGCCGGA
rnacentral:rRNA from 1 species